ACGAGGGCGCUGUCCGCUCAUCUGCGUCUCUUCCUAGUCUGGCUGGUUUGCACUCUGAACCCUGGUGGAGCGGUUGCGAAACAACUUCACCGGCCCUGGUUAAGAUGAGAAAGUGGGGUCUUACUAAAUUUCCCAGGCUGGCUCUCAAAUCACCAUAUAACCCAGACUGGCCUUGGACUCAUGUUCCUCCUAAGCGAGCCUCCGGGUAGCUACGAUUCUGGGCCCACACCACGACAGCCAGCUUCUUGUUCAUGAGCAGUGGCUUCCUUCUGAGACAUGGGCACUGUGUACUGCUAGUGUCUGUCAUUGUAGUUGUGACCUUGUUCCUGCCCAGAGGAAAUCCUCAAGCAUCGUGGGACUGAAGAGGCAGGCGGCAGCAGCUGGCAAGAGCAGAGGAGGCACACACGCUUCUAUUUAUUUCCACCAGAAUCUGGGACUGCGCCUUAGGGUUCUGAAGACACCAGCACGCUGAACAACACAGCAUGUGCGGCUCUGAAGACUUGGCUUGUCAGCGCGUGUGCUGUGCAGCUGGUUGCCAAGGGAAAAUGCUUGGGUUUAACAUCCCAGCCUCUCCUGGGCCAGAAACUAGAGCUCUUCCGAGGGGAUACUGUUCAACUAAUUUCUGGAAGCUUCUGUUGAGUAAUGCCUGCUUUCAUGAAGUGCCCGUAUUUGUGCCUUGUCUUUUACCCACCCCAAACCCCCAGAACUUCACGGAACAAUCUUUUGCAUGUUCCUAACUGGAAGACCUGUCUUGACCUUUCUUAACCCCUGGCUGAAAUACGGCUGUCUUCUCUGGGGAGCUCUCUGCCCUCUGUCCCCUGACAUUGUCUUCCCCUUGACUGACAUGAAAUACCGUGAGACUGAGCUCUGGGAAGGUAGGGACUUCAUUUUGUCUCCUGCUGUGUCCCAGCACCAGCACAGAGCUGUUACCGUAUAGUUAAGGGAUGGCAUGUGGCUCAGUGGCUGGAGUGUACACCUAGCAUGCACACGGCCUUAGUACCCCAUACAACUGGGCACCAUAGUGUAUGCCUGGAGUCAUAGCAUUUGGAGGAGCGGCAAGAGGGUCAGAAGUUCGAGGUUGUCUUUGACUACAGAGUGAGCUUGAGCCCAGCCUGGGCGACAUGAGACCUAGUCGAAAGAGAGAGAGAGAGAGAGAGAGAGAGAGAGAGAGAGAGAGAGAGAGAGAAUA